CACAUUUUUAGAUUAUUAUAGUGUGGCAUUAUAUUUACUGAAAUUUGUUGUCAAAAACAUGUUUUUUAAAGAAUAUGGACAAAAACAUUGUUUGUUUGUUGUACGGCGAAUUGCAGGACGUUGUACGGCGAAUUGCAAAAUAACAACUUUUGUGUGUACGGCGUCUUGCAAUAUAUCAUAUUUUUAAGAGGAAAUUAAUCACUGUUUAGAUAAAAUCAAGUGACGAUAUUUUGUUGAUAUCAAAGCUUUACAGGCUUAUAAAUAUACAAAAUGUCUAACUUAUCAAAUAUUAUUAAAUACAUGCCGUUAAUUCAGUUCAGAAGGCCUCUGUUGCGUACCGCUUUUCGAUUUUGUACAAAAAGGUUUUUUCAACCAUAUUAUCCUAAAUACAUUUAUAUAUCGUUAUACUACUAGCGACUGUUGUCUUUUUGUUUUAGUGUAAAUUCAAUAAAAUAAACCGUCCAUUCAUCGU
rnacentral:lncRNA from 1 species